UGGUGAAGGUACAUAUACAUUUUCCCCAUAUAAGCAUUGCCUGAAAGGUAUGUAUAAUCUAUAACGUCUAAGUAUUAAAACAAACAAAAAAAAAGUCCCCAAGUUGUAUCCCAAUUCUUGCCCAAACCCCUCCUGCUGCCCCAAGGCAGCUCACCUGUGCUUCUGCCUCAGCCAGGCUCCGCUCCUGAAGCACUUUGUGCCCCCUCAGCGUGUGGCACCUCCACCCGCUCCACACUCCUCAUCAACCCCCAGCGCGCACCGCGCCGCCCGUCACGUGACUCCUCCCCGCACCCCCUCCCCGCCUUCCUCCCGCCCACUGCCGGCUCCUCAGCAACCUGGGGCCACUUCCCUGUGGUGGCCUCCGACUUGUCAGUGAUCCAGAGACCUCAGCCGUCCACCCACUUGGCAAACCUCCUGCAGGCUCAAGACAGUGCCCUCAAGGAUCUGUUUUAUUAUCGAAGGAGUGAGCCCAACUCUUCCACUUCUAGGGUGGAGUGGCAAAGAGGAGAGAAGAGGAUGGAGUUGACAUAUUUACUAAAAAAGAUGAUUAAGAAUAUCUAAUAGAAGAUGGCCGAAUAGGAACAGCUCCAGUCUCCAGCUCCAAGCGCAAGCGACACAGAAGACAGGUGAUUUCUGCAUUUUCAACUGAGGUACUGGGUACAUCUCACUAGGGAGUGCCAUGCAGGACAAUCGGUGCUGGUCAGCUGCUGCAGCCCGACCAGCGAGAGCUGAAGCAGGGCGAGGCAUCGCCUCACCUGGGAAGCGCAAGGGGAAGGGAAUCCCUUUUCCUAGCCAGGGGAACUGA
rnacentral:lncRNA from 1 species